CACAAAGGGAUAGAUGUUGUUGAUUCUUGUCCCCUCUAUGUUCCCUUGAUGAGAAUGAGACUUGCUACAUUUUGCUUUAUGGUGUGACUUCACCUUGUUGGCCAAUUUUCGUCCAAGCCAUCAUUGUGUGAUGUGGCUUUUAUUUGAAUUUCAAAUCUUCUUCAAUCAAUGAUGGAAGCUUCCUUUGUUUGUCCAAAUGGGCUUUUAAUUACUUUUGUCCAAAAAGGCUUUAUGGCCCAUGAUUCAAUUUAUGUCAUGUUUGACAUAUUCCUUACAUAAGUGUUUCCGUAAAAAGCUACCACUCUUGGUGAGACAAAAAAGAAUAUCUUCAUGUGAAGUUUUUAUAACAUUUUGGCCAAGACUUUAAGUUGCUUCUUUUGUUUCUACUCAUUGCUUAUAUGUUUUGCUUGUCCAUUAGUUCCUCAUACAUAACGUUAUCGUUGACAGAUGAUAUCAUUAUCGUUGAAACAUUUCUCACAAAACACAUUAGUAGAUAACAAGAUAAUCAUAAUUAAAAUUAACUAACAUGUUUGUUAUCUUUAAAACAUCAAAUAAGGAUUUUGUCCUCAACACUAAUAUAUUUUACUCGUUAUACAUGUAGUAUUUUAUUUUUGUCUUUUCAGCCAACACAAAUAAUGGAACAAAGUCAAACNNNNNNNNNNNNNNNNNNNNNNNNNNNNNNNNNNNNNNNNNAUAUAUAACUGUUUUUAUCAAGGGGAGACAUAAAUAUAUAUGUUGUGCACUCUUUUUCCCUUCACCAUGGUUUUGUCCUACUCUUUUUCUUUUGCUUGGAUAUUUUUUCCAAUGGUUUUUUCUCUAGUAAUGUUUUAAUGAGGCAUAUCCUUAAUGGACAUUCAAUU
rnacentral:lncRNA from 1 species